AUUGAACGCUGGCGGCAGGCCUAACACAUGCAAGUCGAACGAGUGGCGGACGGGUGAGUAAUGUCUGGGAAACUGCCUGAUGGAGGGGGAUAACUACUGGAAACGGUAGCUAAUACCGCUUACCAUCGGAUGGGCCCAGAUGGGAUAAGCUAGUAGGUGUGGUAAAGGCUCACCUAGGCGACGAGCCCUAGUGGGUCUGAGAGGAUGACAAGCGACGCUGGAACUGAGACACGGCCCAGACUCCAACGGGAGACAGCAGUAGGGAAUAUUGCACGAUGGGCGCAAGCCUGAUGCAGCCAUACCACGUGUAUGAAGAAGGCCCUAAGGUUGUAAAGUACUUUCAGUCAGAAGGCAUUACAGACGGAAGAAGCACCGGCUAACUCCGUGCCAACGGCCGCGGUAAUUC
rnacentral:rRNA from 1 species